GGGGUACUCGAGCGGCGAACGGGUGAGUAACACGUGAGUAAUCUGCCCUGCGCUCUGGGAUAGCCACCGAAAACGGUGAUUAAUACCGGAUAGGACCACUUCACGCAUGUGAUGGUGGUGGAAAGUUUUUUCGGCGCAGGAUGUGCUCGCGGCCUAUCAGCUUGUUGGUGAGGUAACGGCUCACCAAGGCUUUGACGGGUAACCGGCCUGAGAGGGUGACCGGUCACACUGGGACUGAGACACGGCCCAGACUCCUACGGGAGGCAGCAGUGGGGAAUAUUGGACAAUGGGCGGAAGCCUGAUCCAGCAACGCCGCGUGAGGGAUGACGGCCUUCGGGUUGUAAACCUCUUUCAGUACCGACGAAGCGCAAGUGACGGUAGGUACAGAAGAAGGACCGGCCAACUACGUGCCAGCAGCCGCGGUAAUACGUAGGGUCCGAGCGUUGUCCGGAAUUAUUGGGCGUAAAGGGCUCGUAGGCGGUUUGUCGCGUCGGGAGUGAAAACACCGGGCUUAACUCGGUGCUUGCUUUCGAUACGGGCAGACUAGAGGUAUGCAGGGGAGAAUGGAAUUCCUGGUGUAGCGGUGAAAUGCGCAGAUAUCAGGAGGAACACCGGUGGCGAAGGCGGUUCUCUGGGCAUUACCUGACGCUGAGGAGCGAAA
rnacentral:rRNA from 1 species